rnacentral:rRNA from 1 species
GACGGUACCUUAUUAGAAAGCCACGGCUAACUACGUGCCAGCAGCCGCGGUAAUACGUAGGUGGCAAGCGUUGUCCGGAAUUAUUGGGCGUAAAGCGCGCGCAGGCGGUCCUUUAAGUCUGAUGUGAAAGCCCACGGCUCAACCGUGGAGGGUCAUUGGAAACUGGGGGACUUGAGUGCAGAAGAGGAAAGUGGAAUUCCAAGUGUAGCGGUGAAAUGCGUAGAGAUUUGGAGGAACACCAGUGGCGAAGGCGACUUUCUGGUCUGUAACUGACGCUGAGGCGCGAAAGCGUGGGGAGCAAACAGGAUUAGAUACCCUGGUAGUCCACGCCGUAAACGAUGAGUGCUAAGUGUUAGGGGGUUUCCGCCCCUUAGUGCUGCAGCUAACGCAUUAAGCACUCCGCCUGGGGAGUACGGUCGCAAGACUGAAACUCAAAGGAAUUGACGGGGGCCCGCACAAGCGGUG